rnacentral:rRNA from 1 species
AUUGAACGCUGGCGGCAGGCCUAACACAUGCAAGUCGAACGGUAACAGGAAGUAGCUUGCUACUUUGCUGACGAGUGGCGGACGGGUGAGUAAUGUCUGGGGAUCUGCCUGAUGGAGGGGGAUAACUACUGGAAACGGUAGCUAAUACCGCAUAAUGUCGCAAGACCAAAGCGGGGGACUUUCGGGCCUCGCACCAUCAGAUGAACCCAGAUGGGAUUAGCUAGUAGGUAGGGUAAUGGCUUACCUAGGCGACGAUCCCUAGCUGGUCUGGGAGGAUGACCAGCCACACUGGAACUGAGACACGGUCCAGACUCCUACGGGAGGCAGCAGUGGGGAAUAUUGCACAAUGGGCGCAAGCCUGAUGCAGCCAUGCCGCGUGUAUGAAGAAGGCCUUCGGGUUGUAAAGUACUUUCAGCGGGGAGGAAGGCGGUGAAGUUAAUAACUUCACCGAUUGACGUUACCCGCAGAAGAAGCACCGGCUAACUCCGUGCCAGCAGCCGCCGUAA